rnacentral:rRNA from 1 species
UACGUAGGGUGCAAGCGUUAAUCGGAGUUACUGGGCGUAAAGCGUGCGCAGGCGGUUCGCUAAGACCGAUGUGAAAUCCCCGGGCUUAACCUGGGAACUGCAUUGGUGACUGGCGGGCUAGAGUAUGGCAGAGGGGGGUAGAAUUCCACGUGUAGCAGUGAAAUGCGUAGAGAUGUGGAGGAAUACCGAUGGCGAAGGCAGCCCCCUGGGCCAAUACUGACGCUCAUGCACGAAAGCGUGGGGAGCAAACAGG